rnacentral:rRNA from 1 species
UACAGAGGUCCCAAGCGUUGUUCGGAUUCAUUGGGCGUAAAGCGUGUGUAGGCGGAUCGUUAAGUGCUUUGUGAAAUCCCACGGCUCAACCGUGGAACUGCUUGGCAUACUGGCGAUCUUGAGCCAUCUAGGGGUCGCUGGAACAAACGGUGGAGCGGUGAAAUGCGUAGAUAUCGUUUGGAACGCCUAUGGUGAAAACAGGCGACUGGGGAUGUGCUGACGCUGAGACACGAAAGCCAGGGGAGCAAACGGG